UAUAUUUAUUGUAAUUAUUAAUAAUUCUAGUUAGAGUGAAAUUUUGUUUUAUGCCGCAGUUGCUUCGCAGCUCCUCGUAGAAGAGCCCCAGUGUUCAGACUCUGCAUCAAAGAGCUAUCGCACAAAAGUCUUGCAAAGACUACAAGAAAUUGUUGAGAACCAGCAAGACAUCCUUGCCAUGCAAAGGCAGUUACUGGCUGCAGUAGCUGUGACCAUGACAGAGGAAGAUGGGUUUUUUUCUGUAAAAUGGGCCAUGCCAAACAGUGGAGGAUCUGCAGACCCUUGACAGGGAUUUGGAAAAUAAAGACAAAAGGGCCAAGAUGAUGAAUUACCUUCCGUCCCUUGGAGGAGCAAACCCAGGUGCAACCUUGCGAAAAAUAUUGCGCAAGGUUGCAUCAAAUGAGGUCUUAGGUGUCUACAGCCUCAAAGGGAAAAAAGGCUAACUACCCUUCCAAAACCUGAAUCUAUGCAACAUGAUCAUAGGCAAGUUAUAAGUCUUUUUCUAUAGUUCUAGCCAAUUUUUUUUC